rnacentral:lncRNA from 1 species
UGUAAACACUGAGGAAAAACCCUAAGUAAACCAUGGGCUUGGGGGCAGAGUGAUGUUUCAAUCAAUGUAGAUCCAUCGAUUAUAACAAAUGUAUCAUUGUGGAGCUGGGUGUGAUAGUUGGGAAGGCUAUGCAGGUGUCAGGGCAGCAGGUCUAUAGAAAUUCUCUCUGUUUUCUGUUCAAUUUUUCUGUGAACUUGAAACUGCUCAAAAAUAAAUCUUUUCCUUUUUUUUUUUUUAAGUAAAACUACACCAAUUGUGGGAAAUUCAAUGAAAGAGGUCAUGCAGGGAACGUAACCAUCCAGCACAGUCUGGCAGAGUCAGGAAAGCAGUUCAUCGUAAGCGACCUUUGAGCUAAAAGCUGAAGCAUAAAUGGUGGAAAUACCAAUUGUGCUAAAUGCUGUAACUUGACAAACCAAAGGGAUCAUAUGUACAACAUGAACCUGAUACAGGACAACAUACCAGUCCUACUUAAGACUGUUACCGUAUGUGGCAAGUAAUGCUUAUAAUGCUAAGUUCACUCAUGUGAAGUGUGCCUCAAAUCUGGAAAAAGAAACCACGGGAAGGGGCCAAAUAUUGUCAUGGUAACGGAAACACAAAGCACCCAGGCUAAAGGCUUUCUAAUAAGGAAGAACAGCCAGCAUUCGUACUAAACUAUUGGUCACACUCAAGUGGACAGAGAGCUUGUUGACUCCUUUGCUCCAGACCAGCGUCCUGGAGACAUGGAACAAGUUUUAGGUGGCUUCACAACUUUCUCCAAGCUCGUCCUGAUACACCAAGUGGUGACUCAGAGCUCAAGUCCAGGUCCUGUCUGUCCGCAAACCUUGAGCUCCCUCUGCCAUGCAGGAUGCCUUUCCACCAACCAGCAUCCAGACUCACACCAAUGUCCAUUUUUAAUUGGAGUACGACAUCCAUAUAGGAAAGGGCAUCAACCCUAAGGGCACAGCACAGGGAAUCUCCACACACCGGACGCACCCACAUGACUAUCACCGCACCAAGAAGGAAUGCGGGACCGACAACCCAGAAUCUCUUCACUUUCUCCUUUCUUGUCACUAUCACCCAAAGGACUAACCACCGCCCUGACUUCUAACCAUAAUUUUUUGCCCUUAAAAUUUUUAAAUAAAAGGAAUCAU